rnacentral:siRNA from 1 species
UUGUGUUUUUGGGUGUUUUGU